GGAAGGCUGUAGCUCAGGAGCUGAACAUCUGCUUUGCAUGCAGAAGGUCCCUGGUUCAACCCCUAGCAUCUCUG